rnacentral:piRNA from 1 species
UCUAGAGGUAUUUGAGAUAUG